GCGGGCCGGCGGAGGCGAGGGCAAGGGCUCCGGCGCGGUCCGGGUCCGGUCUCGGGCGUCUCGGGGCGGCCGGAGGAGGAGGAGGAAGCGCCGGCGCGCGGCUCUGCGACCGGGAGGGGAGCAAACUCUUUGGAUCUUUAUUCUGCUAAUUAGUUUCCUGCAAAAAAUGGCUGAUUAGUGCAGUGCGCAUGUGCCUCAUUACCCAGGCACGACGGGAAGGGCUAAUUAGCCACCUUCUGGAUCAAUAAGAUUCAGCCCAGGCGGCGGCCGCGGAGGGAGGGAGGGGGGAGGAGGCGGGGAGGAAGCGCCGCCGCGAGGGAGGGGGAGGGGGAGGGAGAGGGGUUCGCAGCCCCCCCUCGCGCAUUCCAGCGGCCUCCCGCUCCGCCCCGCCUCCCCCUUCCCUGCCUCCCUCCCUCCUUCCUCGCCUCCCUCCUCCUCCUCGGCCACGGGACCGGACUCUGGCGGCGGGAAGUUGCCGGGAAAGUUGCCGCUCGGCAAAAGGAGGCGGCGGAGACCAACUUGGCCGCGGCUCCGGUCCCGAUCCCUGCCAGGAGGGAAGCCGAGAGGGGCCGGGAGCUUCGCCGGGAGCCCUGGCUUGGAACAGGCCUGAAAAGGAAGCGGCCGCCCGGCUCCAGGGAGGCUCGGGGUCCCGGCCUCCAGGAAGAGGGGCGACUUUUCAACCUCCUUGGGAUCGCCUGCCUGCCUGCCUUCUUGCCUGGAGACGUCUUCUCCUGCUGGAAGACCCCUCCCUCAGCCAGGCCGGGCCAGGGAAAGUCGCAGGCUGGGCAGGCGACUCUCCCCGGGAGGCCUGCAUCCUCUGCCUGGCGCUGCGGCCACUGCCACGGGGCGAGGGCCCAUCGAGGCAACUCCCGAGCCCCCUCCUCCUGGCCCUGGGCCUUUCCCCCUGGAGGUGGGCGGCCGGGGCCGGAGGGGACCCGCGCUGGCUGAAUGGCGCUUCGGAGGCUGAUUGCACGGCCCCUCCGUCCUCCAAGGCCCUGGCCGUGUUUACACCUGGGGACCUUUUUCCUGGAAGCAGACCGGCAGGAAAGGAGGCGCAUCCGCCGAAGAGACCCAAGGGGCCCGUUGCCAGCAGCGCUUCCCGGCUCAGAAGAGCUCGAGGGCCGCAGUCAUCGGCGCCUUCCACACCACAACCUCAGGCGAAGAAAGGCCUCUUCUACAUUGCUGAGCCUGGAACUUGCGGAGCGGGGCCUCCUCUUCGGCUGGAAGGAUGGCUUGCACCCUGGGACUCCUGA
rnacentral:lncRNA from 1 species